rnacentral:rRNA from 1 species
CCUACGGGUGGCUGCAGUGGGGAAUAUUGCACAAUGGGGGAAACCCUGAUGCAGCAACGCCGCGUGAAUGAAGAAGGGUUUCGGUUCGUAAACUUCUAUCAACAGGGACGCAAGAAAUGACGGUACCUGAAUAAGCCGCUCCGGCGAACUACGUGCCAGCAGCCGAGGUAAUACGUAGGGGGCAAGCGUUAUCCGGAAUUACUGGGUGUAAAGGGAGAGUAGGCGGCAUGGUACUACAGAUGUGAAAGCCCUGGGCUUAACCCGGGGACUGCAUUUGAAACUGUGAAGCUAGAGUACAGGAGAGGAAAGCGGAAUUCCUAGUGUAGCGGUGAAAUGCGUAGAUAUUAGGAAGAACACCAGUGGCGAAGGCGGCUUACUGGACUGAAACUGACGCUGAGGCACGAAAGCGUGGGGAGCGAACAGGAUUAGAUACCCGUGUAGUC